rnacentral:rRNA from 1 species
ACAGGGAUUGCCUUAGUAACGGCGAGUGAAGCGGCAACAGCUCAAAUUUGAAAUCUGGCCCCAGGCCCGAGUUGUAAUUUGCAGAGGAUGCUUUUGGCGCGGUGCCUUCCGAGUUCCCUGGAACGGGACGCCAUAGAGGGUGAGAGCCCCGUCUGGUUGGAUACCAAGCCUUUGUAAAGCUCCUUCGACGAGUCGAGUAGUUUGGGAAUGCUGCUCUAAAUGGGAGGUAUAUGUCUUCUAAAGCUAAAUACCGGCCAGAGACCGAUAGCGCACAAGUAGAGUGAUCGAAAGAUGAAAAGCACUUUGGAAAGAGAGUUAAACAGCACGUGAAAUUGUUAAAAGGGAAGCGUUUAUGACCAGACUUGGGCCGGUUAAUCAUCCAGCGUUCUCGCUGGUGCACUUUGCCGGUCCAGGCCAGCAUCAGUUCGCUGCGGGGGAUAAAGGCGUCGGGAAUGUGGCUCCUCCGGAGUGUUAUAGCCCUUCGCGCAAUACCCUGCGGUGGACUGAGGUUCGCGCAUCUGCAAGGAUGCUGGCGUAAUGGUCAUCAACGACCCGUCUUGAAACACGGACCAAGGAGUCGUCUUCGUAUGCGAGUGUUCGGGUGUAAAACCCCUACGCGUAAUGAAAGUGAACGCAGGUGAGAGCUUCGGCGCAUCAUCGACCGAUCCUGAUGUUCUCGGAUGGAUUUGAGUAAGAGCAUACGGGGCCGGACCCGAAAGAAGGUGAACUAUGCCUGUAUAGGGUGAAGCCAGAGGAAACUCUGGUGGAGGCUCGCAGCGGUUCUGACGUGCAAAUCGAUCGUCAAAUAUGGGCAUGGGGGCGAAAGACUAAUCGAACCUUCUAGU